rnacentral:ncRNA from 1 species
UCAAACGCAACGACCGGGACGAGUAAGCGGCUCCCGUUUCUGACAGAGAGUCCAGGCUGAAAGUUGAGAGCCUCGACCAGAAACCUCCGCUGAAAACCACCCGCGAGCGAGAAGCAGAACAGUGAUCAGUGAUCAGUUAGUAUGCGGAACGGAUUGCCUCGUUAUCGGCUGAAGAGUGGUAAGUCGAAAUUAAUUUCGACUUACAAUUCGGGUGGUACCGCGUGAGUCAAACUCUCGCCCCGUGU